rfam:Dactylellina haptotyla CBS 200.50 unplaced genomic scaffold scaffold00074, whole genome shotgun sequence.
UCUCAGAUCGUCCAGUGGUCAAGAUUUCCGCCUGUCACGCGGGAGACCGGGGUUCGAUUCCCCGUCUGAGAG